CCAAUUUUGCGCCACUAAGUUGAAAGGGGAAAUUGCUUGAUGUUGUGCCGCUUUAUUUAUAUGUACUCGGAAACUGGACGGAAGAUCAAGGAAACCAGCAGACCAUUUGCACAUCCAGCCACAGCGAUUGGAAUCUGCGUUCAAUCAGCUUAUUUAUCCUCCCAUUUGCGAGCUUGACCGUGUGGGCGUGUGAUUGUGUCACCGUUCCAGUUCGACGCUUUGUUUCCAACAAAGCCCUUGACUAAUCACUGCAAAUUGGGGAUCAAAGGCCGGCGCAACAUCCAAGACAAAUAGCAGCGUAGGCGGGAGGGCGGGACGAAACCGCAUCACUUCUCGGUCCAUCACAGAAGGGAAAAGACAUGGGGUGUUGAAGGAGAAGCAUCUAUCUGCUUCGUCAUUUGAUGACAUCAUGGCGUGAAAACAGACCAUGGCAACAGCACGUAGAGUCAUAACGUACGGCCGUAAAAUAAAAGCAUAUGACGGCCAAAGUGGACAAGCGAGGCUGCCAGAAGCGCAGCGAGCAGACAUCUGUGCACACGGAAGACCAGCACGGAAAAGACCUGAAGGCUGCGGGAGGUCAGCUGACUCAACGCUGAGGCAUUCUUUGCCGCUUCUUCUGCCAGCUGCACUAAACGACCGCUUAGUCGGUUUCGUCGGACAAUAAUGGCUCUUUUGAAAUCGGUUGAUUUUUAUUUUUUUUUUACACAUAUUACACCAUAAGACAAAGAAUGGCGUUCAAAAACCCCUUCAAUGAUUUCACAACCAUUUCUUUUCAUUGUGUGUUAAUGAAAACAAUAAAAUCUAAAAAAAGAUUCCUGUUCAUGGCAACCAAAAAAAAGACAAAUAUCAUGCCUUUGACUUUCCGGAGCGCAAAGCCCCCCCCCCCCCCUGCCAAUCCAUCCAUCCUGAGGUCAAGGCAGCUGCGUCUUCAACUGCAAUCUUCACUUUUUCAUUCUUCGCCUGUGUUUCACAUUUAGACCCAGGGGCCUCCGCUUGUAUUUGCCGCAGAUGUCGGCUUGGCAACUUCUAACUUGCUUCUCGUGCCUUUCGGGGGCUUUUUGACGCCAAAUGGUCCGUUGAGUGAAUUAGGGAAAUAUGAUAUUAAGUUGACACUUUGUAAUGGGCGUGUUUCAUUGCGCCGGAGUUGAUGGAUCAAAUUCCCCCGUGUUCUUUGUACCUGGACCAGGUUCAUCCAUCAUGGAACAGUCAGAUUAUUUUGCGUUUGUAUGACCAGCACACAUCCGGCAAAGAUUAAAAAUCUCGUUUUCUCUGCUCCUUA